AGAGUUUGAUCCUGGCUCAGAAUCAACGCUGGCGGCGCGCUUAACACAUGCAAGUCGCACGAGAAAGGGGAGCAAUCCCUGAGUAAAGUGGCGUACGGGUGAGUAACACGUGGAUCAUCUACCUUUUAGUGGGGAAUACCCCCGGGAAACUGGGGACAAUACCGCAUAAGCUCGUGAGAGGAAAGCAGCAAUGCGCUGAAAGAGGAGUCCGCGGCUGAUUAGCUAGUUGGUGAGGUAACGGCCCACCAAGGCGAAGAUCGGUAGCCGGCCUGAGAGGGCACACGGCCACACUGGCACUGAAAUACGGGCCAGACUCCUACGGGAGGCAGCAGUGGGGAAUCUUGCACAAUGGAGGAAACUCUGAUGCAGCGACGCCGCGUGAACGAUGAAGCCCUUCGGGGUGUAAAGUUCUUUCGACGGGAACGAUAAUGACGGUACCCGAAGAAGAAGCUGCGGCUAACUACGUGCCAGCAGCCGCGGUAAUACGUAGGCAGCAAGCGUUGUUCGGAAUUACUGGGCGUAAAGAGUGCGUAGGCGGUGCUCUAAGUCUGUUGUGAAAUCUCCCGGCUUAACUGGGAGGGUGCGGCGGAAACUGGAGUGCUUGAGGGUGGGAGAGGUAAGCGGAAUUCCUGGUGUAGCGGUGAAAUGCGUAGAUAUCAGGAGGAACACCUGUGGUGUAGACAGCUUACUGGACCACUUCUGACGCUGAGGCACGAAAGCGUGGGUAGCAAACAGGAUUAGAUACCCUAGUAGUCC
rnacentral:rRNA from 1 species